rnacentral:rRNA from 1 species
AUUGAACGCUGACGGCAUGCCUUACACAUGCAAGUCGAACGGCAGCACGGGAGCAAUCCUGGUGGCGAGUGGCGAACGGGUGAGUAAAGUAUCGGAACGUGCCCAGUCGUGGGGGAUAACGUAGCGAAAGUUACGCUAAUACCGCAUACGAUCUAUGGAUGAAAGCGGGGGAUCGCAAGACCUUGCGCGAUUGGAGCGGCCGAUAUCAGAUUGGGUAGUUGGUGGGGUAAAGGCUCACCAAGCCGACGAUCUGUAGCUGGUCUGAGAGGACGACCAGCCACACUGGGACUGAGACACGGCCCAGACUCCUACGGGAGGCAGCAGUGGGGAAUUUUGGACAAUGGGCGCAAGCCUGAUCCAGCCAUGCCGCGUGCAGGAUGAAGGCCUUCGGGUUGUAAACUGCUUUUGUACGGAACGAAAAGGUUUGGCCUAAUACGCUGAACUCAUGACGGUACCGUAAGAAUAAGCACCGGCUAACUACGUGCCAGCCGCCGCCGUAAGAC